AUAUGGAGGGUGCGAGCGUUAAUCGGAAUUACUGGGCGUAAAGCGUACGUAGGCGGUUGGUUAAGUUAGAUGUGAAAGCCCCGGGCUUAACCUGGGAACUGCAUUUAAAACUGGCGAACUAGAGUUGAGUAGAGGGGAGUGGAAUUUCAGGUGUAGCGGUGAAAUGCGUAGAGAUCUGAAGGAACACCAGUGGCGAAGGCGACUCCCUGGACUCGAACUGACGCUGAGGUACGAAAGCGUGGGUAGCAAACGGGAUUAGAAACCCCAGUAGUCC
rnacentral:rRNA from 1 species